rnacentral:lncRNA from 1 species
AGCUUGUCUGAAAACCAGUCCCUGCUGAGGAUGCCCCCCUGGGAGAACAUCUGGCUCGUGGGCUCCAUCUGCUUGUCCAUGUCCCUUCACUUCUUGAUCCUCUACGUGGAACCUUUGCCACUCAUUUUCCAGAUCACACCGCUGAAUCUGACCCAGUGGCUGAUGGUGCUGAAAAUCUCCCUGCCUGUGAUCCUCAUGGACGAGACGCUCAAGUUUGUGGCCCGAAACUACCUGGAGCCUGGUAAAGAGUGUGCGCAGCCUGCCACCAAACCCUCCUGCUCCCUGUCGGCAUGCACCGACGGCAUUUCCUGGCCCUUUGUGCUGCUCAUUAUGCCCCUGGUGGUCUGGGUCUACAGCACAGACACUAACUUUAGUGAUAUGUUCUGGUCUUGACUGACAGCGCUACAUGCAGAAGAUGUUUAACUUAAUCAAUUAAUUUUUUAUUGUUUAAAGCAACUGUCUAUUUCUGCUGAAUUUUCACAUGAACAUAUUGGCUGGUGAAGGAGGUUUCAUAUCUAGAUUUUGUUUUGCUUUUUCUGACUCCAGUGGGACAAGAUUUUCCUUUUUUUUAUACACAUAAUUAAAGUGUCCAUUGACAUGUACAGAGAACUAACACUAUUUUA